AAACAACCUGAAACUAAAUCACAGAAACUCCUGGAAACCCAACUUGAAUUAGCCCAAGUGUGUCUGUGCAUUUGUGUAUUUGUUGUUUAUGCACGACAAAGUCCUACAAAAUCAAAUUGAUUUACUUUACCUUGAUUUACUUUAGAAAAAAAAUUAAAAUAUCAGCAAAUUCAUAUUUAGGUUUGCCUUCACAAAGGAGUUAUAAACUUAAUGUUUUGUAUAUUUAAUCUGUUAUCUUAAUUAGGGACUCGUAGAUCAUCAAAGAGAUGUUAAAAUAAUACAAUCAAGAGUCAUAGAGUAACAUGUACAAUUUAUUUUUUGGCAAGACUCAGAAAAAACAAUUUGAUAUGUUAAUGGAUCCUAAUGGGCAAUAGCUAUUAAUUAAAUAAAUAACCCAUUAGACUGAGAAGUGAAGUGUCAGUACAAGGACAAUGUACUAAAAUUGCUGAAGAAUAGCAAUUAACUUAUAGUAUUUAGUGGUGGCACAGAUAUUUAUAUUUGGUUUUGUAGAUAUUUGUGUCAGCUAUAUCAAAUUAAUUAAAUUAAACCAGCAACUAUUUAAUAAAUCUCUACAAUGUGUGUGCAGUGCUAUGCUAGGCAUUUGGAAUAAAGCAAAAAAGUAGACAACCUGAUCUAGACUCUUGGGGAAAAUAUAGUAUAGUAGGGAGAGGCAAGAUGUAAGUAAUUUUAAUAUAUAAUGAUUGUGCAUGUUGACAUAUUAAAAAUGUUUUAAGGUAUUACACCAUCAAUUCUUUACCACUUUUAUCACUGUCCAUCAUGACGUACUAACAAUUGUUGAGGAAAAAUAAUGCUGGGGUAGGGCCUGGGGAUAACCAAGAAGGUGUAAAUCCUGGCCUCUGCUCAGGAAGCCAGUGAUCUAAUUUGGAAGGUUGAUUGCUAAAUGAAAUCUUUGCUGACGCAGAAAGUCCCAUGAAUAGGAAAGGGAGAAAGAGCUAAGGGCUAGGAUAUUCUGGCAAGUUUGUGGAGGCGAACUGGAGCUUGAAGUACAGGUGGAAUGUGACUAAACAGAGAGGGGAGGUGGUGGCUCAGGUGGGGACGAUGGCCAGAGCCAGCUUCAUUGUGAGGCAUUAGGGGUGAGGCUGCAGAAGAGAUUUAUGUAAUGCAGCCACAAUGUUGUGCAAUCUGGUGAUUGAAGAAUUUGGACUCGGCUUUCCUGAGGAGAGUGACAGAAUCAAAGUGGUUGUAGAAAGAUGUUGAUCAGAUUGAAGGGUGCUGGGGAGAUCUGUGGUAGGAGGGAGUAGGAGCUAGAAGGCAGCAAGACUGGCUGGAGGCCCUUGUGAGGGGAUAAGAGAUGAACAUGAUUUCCUAAAACAGAUCACAGCCUUUUUAAGGGAAAGGGAAAUGCCUUGCUUUUCCUUGUUUCCUUGUUUUUCCUGUACAUUCAGUCCAGAAUGUAUAAUGCUGUGGAAUAACCCCUUGUAGAGCCACUGACUUAUGAGACUAUCUAAAGACAGGUGCUGACCUUUGCCGCUGAUCACUGUAUUUGGCCUCCUGGAACAAGAGUGCCUCAUGAAUAAAACAAGUUAGAGCAACCUAAGGAGAUUCAAGCAGAGGUCACUCUAUAGUGAGGUGAUAAAUUUUGUGACCGAUAUGGAGGCCUAGCUUAGUCGCAGGCAAUCAUUACUGAAUUACCUGGUGAUAACAGGAGGUGAAGAAAAUGUGCAUUCUAAGCACAAUGCAAAUGCGAAUCACUAGCUUCCUGGAGAUCUGAUCAAAUAAAACUUAAGUUUUAAUUAAACUGUGACCAAAUUAAUUAAAAGUUACUAUACUGUGUGAUAGAUAAUUAUCAACUAGAAUGUUGCUUAUUUUGCUGCAGCAUCCUGAUUUCUUUAUCUUCCUGUUCUGAAAAUGUAAAAAUCCUUUUAGUCUUUUAGAUGAGUCACAAGCGAAAAAAAAAAAAUUAAGUUAGCAGGAUGUAUUAAACAUUAAUUUAAGCACAAUCAUGAAAACCUGAAAUUUUCUUUUUUCUCUAGCUAUGUUUUAAGUUCUUGACAUAAUUUUUACAAUGGCACAUCUAUUUUUUAUGAGUUUUUAAUAAAAUGUAAUAAUAGCAACUAAUAAUGUUAACGAUAAUAAUGAUAACUGUCAUUUCUCUCUCCUCAGGAUCAUUUUGUGCUGAGCGUUCAUAACUGAGUCAUAGCUGUCUGUGUUAAAGGAUUGUUCCCAGGUUUUAUUUAUCUUGUUCAGCCUUUUAAUUCAAUUGGUUUCUUGGCUGAUUUGUCUCCCAGUGUGAUUAAUCAAUGAGAACUAGGGGCCCAAUUCACGUUUUCACUUAAGUCGAUUGAAAUGUUGAGUGUGGUUGUGGUUGUUUAGGAGAUAAAACAGGGUCACUGACUUACAACAUCAUUUCUUCUUGGUUUUAUGCCUUAACUGUAUUUUCCCCAGCAGAAUCUGGUAACUGUUUCUCUCAGUUAUGGAAGCCUACAGGGAGAGGAAAGGUUGACAGCCAGAUCACAUCGUUCCUCUAAAUCCCCAGCACCUGGCACAGAGGCUGG
rnacentral:lncRNA from 1 species